GGCCGCGUGGCCUAAUGGUAAGGCGUCAGAUUUCGGUUGUUAAACUUAUCUCUGAAGAUUGCAUGUUCGAAUCUUGUCGCGGUCG